rnacentral:rRNA from 1 species
UGAAACCGCAAAAGGCUCAUUAUAUCAGUUAUGGUUUCUUAGAUCGUAUCCACAAUUACUUGGAUAACUGUGGUAAUUCUAGAGCUAAUACAUGCAUUUAAAGAGAAACCAGUAAAAUGGGUUCUCUGCUUUUAUUAGAUUUAAACCAAUGGGGAGCGUUUCGGCGUUCUUACAUUUAAACUGGUUGAACUCUGGAUAAUUUGUUGAUCGCAUGGUCUCGUACCGGCGACGGAUCUUUCAAAUGUCUGCCCUAUCAACUAUUGAAGGUAAUGUCUUGGAUUACCUUGGUUGCAACGGGUAACGGGGAAUCAGGGUUCGAUUCCGGAGAGGGAGCCUGAGAAACGGCUACCACAUCUAAGGAAGGCAGCAGGCGCGUAAAUUACCCACUCCCAGCACGGGGAGGUAGUGACGAAAAAUAACAAUACAAGACUCACAUCCGAGGCCUUGUAAUUGGAAUGAGUACACUUUAAAUCCUUUAACAAGGAUCAAUUGGAGGGCAAGUCUGGUGCCAGCAGCCGCGGUAAUUCCAGCUCCAAUAGCGUAUAUUAAAGUUGUUGCGGUUAAAACGUUCGUAGUUGAACUUGUGUUCCGCACGGGCAGUACCAAACAACUGGUAAAACAGUAGUGGUACCUUGUCUUACUUCCUGUCUCCGGAUUAGGAAAUGUGCGUGGACGUAUUAUCGGCGUGUUCGCUCUCGUAGCGUUCACAUCAGCCCAUCGCAGUGCUCUUAAACAAGUGUUGCUGUGGGCCGAUACAAAUUACUUUGAACAAAUUAGAGUGCUUAAAGCAGGCUUGUAAUGCCUGAAUAUUUUGUGCAUGGAAUAAUGAAAUAGGACAUCUGUUCUACUUUCAUUGGUUUUUUAGACCAAGAUGUAAUGAUUAAUGGAAGCAGUUGGGGGCAUUAGUAUUACAACGCGAGAGGUGAAAUUCUUAGACCGUUGUAAGACUAACUAAAGCGAAAGCAUUUGCCAAAGAUGUUUUCAUUUAAUCAAGAACGAAAGUUAGAGGUUC